UGAGGAAUAUUGGUCAAUGGGCGAGAGCCUGAACCAGCCAAGUCGCGUGAAGGAAGACUGCCUUAUGGGUUGUAAACUUCUUUUAUACAGGAAUAAAAAGGCUUACGUGUAGGCCAUUGCAAGUACUGUAUGAAUAAGCAUCGGCUAACUCCGUGCCAGCAGCCGCGGUAAUACGGAGGAUGCGAGCGUUAUCCGGAUUUAUUGGGUUUAAAGGGUGCGCAGGCGGGCUUUUAAGUCAGCGGUGAAAUCUGGACGCUUAACGUCCAAACUGCCGUUGAAACUGGGAGUCUUGAGUAUGGAUGAAGUAGGCGGAAUUCGUUGUGUAGCGGUGACAUGCAUAGAUAUAACGAGGAACUCCGAUUGCGUAGGCAGCUUACUAAGCCAUAACUGACGCUCAUGCACGAAAGCGUGGGGAUCAAACAGGAUUAGAUACCCUGGUAGUCCACGCCGUAAAACGAUGAUUACUAGUUGUAUGCGAUAUGAUAGUAUGUGACUAAGCGAAAGCGAUAAGUAAUCCACCUGGGGAGUACGCCGGCAACGGUGAAACUCAAAGAAAUUGACGGGGUCAUAGCUGUUUCCUG
rnacentral:rRNA from 1 species